CAGUCGCCACGGUAAUACGGAGGGAGCUAGCGUUGUUCGUAAUUACUGGGCGUAAAGCGCACGUAGGCAGCUUUGUAAGUUAGAGGUGAAAGCCUGGAGCUCAACUCCAGAAUUGCCUUUAAGACUGCAUCGCUUGAAUCCAGGAGAGGUGAGUGGAAUUCCGAGUGUAGAGGUGAAAUUCGUAGAUAUUCGGAAGAACACCAGUGGCGAAGGCGGCUCACUGGACUGGUAUUGACGCUGAGGUGCGAAAGCGUGGGGAGCAAACAGGAUUAGAUACCCCGGUAGUCCCUGUCUCUUAUAC
rnacentral:rRNA from 1 species